GAAUAAGAAGCGAUAAAUUGCAGUCAGUUUCGACCUGACCUUAGGUAAUUACUACCCCUAUUCU
rnacentral:tRNA from 1 species